UACGAAGGGGGCUAGCGUUGCUCGGAAUCACUGGGCGUAAAGCGCACGUAGGCGGAUCUUUAAGUCAGGGGUGAAAUCCUGGAGCUCAACUCCAGAACUGCCUUUGAUACUGGGGAUCUCGAGUCCGGGAGAGGUGAGUGGAACUGCGAGUGUAGAGGUGAAAUUCGUAGAUAUUCGCAAGAACACCAGUGGCGAAGGCGGCUCACUGGCCCGGUACUGACGCUGAGGUGCGAAAGCGUGGGGAGCA
rnacentral:rRNA from 1 species